CUGACCUCGGUUCAGUCGUGAGUACCCGCUGAACUUAAGCAUAUCAAUA
rnacentral:rRNA from 2 species